rnacentral:rRNA from 1 species
UACGUAGGGGGCAAGCGUUGUCCGGAAUCAUUGGGCGUAAAGCGCGUGUAGGCGGUUCGGUAAGUCUGCUGUGAAAGUCCAGGGCUCAACCCUGGGAUGCCGGUGGAUACUGUCGAACUAGAGUACGGAAGAGGCGAGUGGAAUUCCCGGUGUAGCGGUGAAAUGCGCAGAUAUCGGGAGGAACACCAAUUGCGAAGGCAGCUCGCUGGGACGUCACUGACGCUGAGACGCGAAAGCGUGGGUAGCAAACAGG